rnacentral:rRNA from 1 species
UACUUAGUGGCAGACGGGUGAGUAACAUGUGGGUAUCUACCCUUUGGCCUGGAAUAACACGAGGAAACUUGUGCUAAUACCGGAUAAGUCUUUACGGAGAAAGCUUUAUGCACCAUUGGAUGAGCCCGCACUUGAUUAGUUUGUUGGUAGGGUAAUGGCCUACCAGGACUAUGAUCAAUAGCUGAUUUGAGAGGAUGAUCAGCCACAUUGGGACUGAGACACGGCCCAAACUCCUACGGGAGGCAGCAGUGGGGAAUCUUGCGCAAUGGAGGAAACUCUGAUGCAGCGAUGCCGCGUGAGUGAAGAAGGCCUUUGGGUUGUAAAGCUCUUUCGUCGGGGAAGAAAAUGACUGUACCCGAAUAAGAAGGUCCGGCUAACUUCGUGCCAGCAGCCGCGGUAAUACGAAGGGACCUAGCGUAGUUCGGAAUUACUGGGCUUAAAGAGUUCGUAGGUGGUUGAAAAAGUUGGUGGUGAAAUCCCAGAGCUUAACUCUGGAACUGCCAUCAAAACUUUUCAGCUAGAGUGUGAUAGA